UUGAACAGGUUGAUACAUCUAGGAGUGAAAUACAUCACCGCUUUCCCUGCUCCCGCCGCCAUUAAAAUUGUGUUUGGCAUCUGACCACCAAGAUACAGAUAUUUCCUAGACUGUUUUGCAGCUAGGUACUUAGAAGUUUUUCUAAGUUAUUUAAACUUCUCACCACACAAAAUCUGGAUUUGUAUCUGUCACGUAGUAAUUGCUUGAUAAAUCAUUUCUCUUUCCUCUGGAGAAAAAUAUCUGCUUUCUUUAAAAUAAAUGUUCCAUCCAUGCAGCUAAGCAGCUAAGGACACGAACAGCCACUGAUACAGGCCAACUCAUCAGUAGAUUAUUGAGAUUUCAUACUAGGACCUUUCAUUGGCUGAACAAAGACAAAGACAGAAAUCAAGGAAGGUCAAAGAAGCAGUCAGUUUUCUGGCACCCAAAGUUGUUGGAGAAGGGUACAGAGUCGGUAAAUAAGUCAUAUGACAGACAGGCAGUAUUUUCUUAUUUUAAUAACAAGUUUAAAAAUCCCACUUCUUGUACUUACCUUCUGUCUGACGUCAUCAGUAUUUUAAAAUGCCAACUGGGAUCAAGUUCAACACUGCAUUACUGAAGAAUCCAGAUUAUCUACAUUUCAAGUGCCAAAUGAAAGAAAGAACCCAGAAAAUAAAAC
rnacentral:lncRNA from 10 species